GACGAACGCUGGCGGCGUGCCUAAUACAUGCAAGUCGAACGCAGUGGGGACGGGUGAGUAACAAGUGGGUAACCUCCCAGCAGAGGGGAUAACACUUGGAAACAAGUGCUAAACCGAUACUGAUGGAUGGACCCGCGGUGCAUUAGCUAGGUGGUGGGGUAACGGCUCACCAAGGCCACGAUGCAUAGCCGGCCUGAGAGGGUGAUCGGCCACACUGGAACUGAGACACGGCCCAGACUCCUACGGGAGGCAGCAGUAGGGAAUCUUCGGCAAUGGACGAAAGUCUGACCGAGCAACGCCGCGUGAAUGAAGAAGGUUUUCGGAUCGUAAAACUCUGUUGUUAGAGAAGCGGUAUCUAACCAGAAAGCCACGGCUAACUCCGUGCCAGCAGCCGCGGUAAUUC
rnacentral:rRNA from 1 species